AUUUAGGACAAUGGGGGCAACCCUGAUCCAGCCAUCCCGCGUGUGCGAUAAAGGCCCCCGGGUUGUAAAGCACUUUCGGCAGGGAAGAAAAGGCUCUGGCUAAUACCUGGAGCUGCUGACGGUACCUGCAGAAUAAGCCCCGGCUAACUACGUCCCAGCAGCCGCGGUAAUACGUAGGGUGCAAGCGUUAAACGGAAUUACUGGGCGUAAAGCGUGCGCAGGCGGUUCGGCAAGAAGGAUGUGAAAUCCGAGGGCUUAACCUUGGAACUGCAUUCUUAACUGCCGGGCUAGAGUAUGUCAGAGGGGGGUAGAAUUCCGCGUGUAGCAGUGAAAUGCGUAGAGAUGCGGAGGAAUACCGAUGGCGAAGGCAGCCACCUGGGCUAAUACUGACACUGAGGUGCGAAAGCGUGGGGAGCAAAC
rnacentral:rRNA from 1 species